CUUUCUCCGACUUUUUAGGACGUGUUUUAUGCCACUUCUUUUUCCGUCUCAUUUUGUCCACCAAACCUUUAACGUUGUGCGUGAAUACACAAAGGAACACCGUGUCCCUCGUGACGUCAUCAUCGAGGAAUUCCAGCUCCUUGAGGCGUGCAUCGAGUGCUGAGGCUUUGUACAGGAAUUCUUGAACGUAUGUGUAGCGGCUGUCAAAGGCUUCUCUGAAUGUCUCCUUCAUUUCAGAGAUGACAGUUUGGUGAUCUCUGGCAUGAGGGUCAAGUCGUCCUCUGUGAAGCUCGGCAGGCCUCCUAGAGCCUUCGGCUUUACCCUCCGCAAGGUCAAAGCCACAGCAGGGUGCUGUUCCCAGUAACGCUGGAUCAUCUCCAAGGAACUGUUCCACCGAGUGGAGACAUCACCAAUCGGCUUGUGGUGUUUUAUGCUCAACUGACUGAGUAUCAGAGGCUUCGGUACUCUUGUGGAAAUAGGUCACCACUCUCCUGAUUUUAAUUAGAAGGUCUACAACCUGUUUCACCUGCAAUGCUCUUUGUGAUGAUGGGUUCAAGGAGUGGGCAAUGCAUCUUAUAUGUGGAUUCAUUUUGGCACCUGCUCCUGCUAGGAGCAUGUUUUUGGCGUUAUCAGUUGUAAUGUUCCAUUCGGAGAAAACAUAGUGAAGACAUUCAGUUAAGUUCUCUCCUGUCUGGGCCUCGAGAAAGUGUCUAGAUUGCAGCACGUAGUUGUGCAUAUUCCAUUCAUCAUCGAUGUGGUGUGCAGUGACAGUAAUGUAAGAUGGAGUGGCACAGGACGUCCAGCAAUCCAUGGUAAGAGCAACUCUUUUCGCGUUACCAUCUUAAAACUCAUUUGUAUAAUCUAGCCUUUAAAUAGACCCCCCCUUUUUUAGACCAGUUGAUCUGCCGUUUCUUUUCUUCUCUCCUCUUCUCCCCUGUCCCUUGCGAGGGGGAGUUGCAUAGGUCCGGUGGCCAUGGAUGAAGUGCUGGCUGUCCAGAGUCGGGACCCCGGGUGGACCACUAGCCUGUGCAUCGGUUGGGGACAUCUCUGCGCUGCUGACCCGUCUCCGCUCGGGAUGGUUUCCUGUUGGCCCCGCUGUGGACUGGACUCCCGCUGAUGUGUUGGAUCCACUGUGGACUGGACUUUCACAAUGUUAUGUCAGACCCACUCGACAUCCGUUGCUUUCGGUCUCUCCUAGAGGGGGGGGGGGGUUACCCACAUAUGCGGUCCUCUCCAAGGUUUCUCAUAGUCAUUCACCGACGUCCCACUGGGGUGAGUUUUUCCUUGCCCGUAUGUGGGCUCUGUACCGAGGAUGUCGUUGUGGCUUGUACAGCCCUUUGAGACACUUGUGAUUUAGGGCUAUAUAAACAAACAUUGAUUGAUUGAUUGAUUGAUACUUAGAGAUUCCAUUACCUCCGCUUUUACUUUAGUGUAGAGAUUGGGUAUUUCCUUGUUAGAAAAUAACCGCCUUAGGGGUAUUUUGUGUCUGGGGUCAAAAGCAUUGGCCAUGAACCUGAACCCCUCGUACUCCACAACGCUAUAUGGCCGCAUGCCUUUACAUAUGAAAUAUAUGAUGGUUAGCGCCAGUGAUCGGGUGGAAUUAGCUGCCAAAGGCUUAUUUUGACUUAGAAUUGGACCAAAGUCACAGAAUAGAAAAGAAAAACACAGCGGUGCUAAAUUAAUGCAUCAGCAUCAAUUAAAUAGCAGCAGAGGUGGGUCAAAUGCAAGGAAGCAAAAAAGGUUGGUUCCAAAAGACUUGAGGAACUCAGGACCCCAAAAUUCUGUACUGAUGUUUGUGAGUGAGUAACGAGAGUGACGGUUAAAGCGGCGUGGGUUAUGGCCAAGAACAGUAGCCCGUGAUAGGGCUUGGUGUGCCUGAUAGCAACUUGCAACUGCCAAUACAAGCUUGUGUUCCGGCAACUAUGUCUGGUGCUUGAGGCUUGAGUGUUGCAAUACAAAACAUGAAGUUGAAAGUAAAACUGUCCAAAGCAUUCAAAAGAAAGGGAAAAGUUAUAAGCACAAAUGCUUGCAAAAAGCUAGCUUGGCGCGAAACUUAGCAUAAGACAUUUGGCGAUUGGGCAGAGACCAGACAUCCAAUUGAGAACUAAAUACAUAGAAUAAUCACACAACUGAAUAUGUCUGAACACAUAUGAGAGGAAGGAACAAGCUGAUUGGAGCAAACAGGGGCCAGGGCAGGACACAGGUUUACCACAAACGAGCAUAUGGGGAAUAAAAUCACGGGACAAUCACAAACAAAUCAUGACAGCACCCUUGGGGAACGUGUUCCAGAUGUCCCAGAGUUCAAAAACAAGAAAAGGUCAUAACUUUUAACAAAAAACAAAAGGGUGGAGGGAGGCUUAGGUCGAACAUAAAAAGUCACUUGGCCGAUCGUAAACAGAGGAGGGAACCCUCUAGAGAAGCCAGCGGGUGGAAAGGACAGCAGGGCCAGCCAAAUCGGUGUGAGGCAUCCGGAACGGGCUGGAGUUGUGCAUUUGUAGGUCUUGCGUUGCACUAGGUGUAUGAGAGGACACCAUCUUCCCAGCUGCAACAGGAACUGGACGUGACGUCGACAAGGCUUCAGGCUUCCGCACAGCCAGAAUAGGAACUGGACGAGACAUAGACAAUGCUUUGGGCUGCUGCGGAACAGGAACUGGACGAGAGGUUGACAAGGCUUCGAGCUGACCCACAGCCGGAACAGGAAUUGGACAAUACGUUGACAAAGCUUAGGGCUGCAGCGGAGCCGCCAGGAACUGGAAAAGACAUCGACAAGGCUUUGCUCUGUCGCAGAACAGGACCUGGACAAGACUUUGACAAGGCUUUGGGCUUCCGCACAGCCGCACAGGUACUGACGAGAAAUCAACAAAGCUUUCUAUGGUACUUUAAAUAUUGUAUUUGUUAAUGCACUAUUUAGUCUUGAUUUUUAUCAUUAAAAAAACUAUAGCAAAAUGAUUGGUUUUCCCCCUAACUAAAAAGUUCAAACGAUAACCAGGGUGACUUUAGACUGCUAUUG